GGAGGUGUCGCAUAGUGGUCAAUUGCACACGCUUGGAAAGCGUGAGCCUCACGGCUCCAAGGGUUCGAAUCCCUUCACCUCCG
rnacentral:tRNA from 1 species